UCCCGUGUUCUUUGUGUACAUACAGAACAUCUAUGAAUACACCCUCCAAAAUACACAUGCAUGUAUCGACGGGAUAAUAUCAUAAAGCCUAAAAGUGAAGGAAGAGAUUAUUUCCAAGUCUGUUUAGUUUAGCUUUAUUCUUUCGUGAUUUUCUAAAAGACAAAGGAUGUUACUACACAAAAAAUUCUAGCAGGAGACUUCCCCCAAAAGGAUGUUCACGCAACGGGUUGAUGGAAGAAAUGUGAAAAUACUUAGGAUUUGCUAUCUGUGUGGUUUAAAGGUAUACUGUACAUGUGCUAGCUCUGGUCUCCAAAGUCUAAACUAGCCUUAAGAGGUUAACAUAGGGCCAAAACAGAGUGAGAAGUGCUUUGAAUGAGUAAUGUGGUUACUCUCUUUCAGGAGAAAAGAGUUCAAGCCCUGUGACGCUAAAGGACUUUAGAUGGAUGAAAAUGAACUUUGCAUUAACGUGCAAAGAUGUUAGUCUCUGAACUCCCAUGUUUUUGUAAUCAUAACCAAAGUGAUAGUAUGUAAAUACUUUUUGUAUAUGUUACUAUAGGUUAAUGGUA